AUGAAGAGAACAUCCCAUUCAUCAUUGUUUGGAAACCUUGCCAUAAGACACACAUUGUGCUUCUGUGGUGGCACUUAGGCCUUCCACUUUCAGAAGGUGACCUGUGGCAAAUGUUGCUACCCUACCAGCCACAACAGAAAGUAUAGCUGGAAUGCCAAGGCUAAAAGCUGAAAUACUACUGCAACUAGUCGAAUGAGACACCUAAAAAUUGUCACCGCAGACCUAGGCAUGGAUUCUAUAAAGGAACAACACACCUAAAUCCAAGAGGGCAGCUGUUGCAGCAUCCAGUU
rnacentral:lncRNA from 1 species